CGAGAUCCUGCUGAAAUCCAACCCUGUGUACAAGAAGAUCCCCGUCCUCAUCCACCAGGGAAAGCCCGUCUGCGAGUCCGCCAUCAUCGUGGAGUACAUCGACGAGAUUUGGACCAGCGAGCCUCCCAUCCUCUCCUCCCACCCCUUCGACCGCGCCGUCGCUCGCUUUUGGGUCACCUACAUUGAUGACAAGGUUGGUCUCCACGCCUUCCCUUAUGGCAUCCAUUUCAACGUGCUUAAAUAUUGAAUUUGAUGUGGCACUUAAUUCCUUCGUUUUCUGGCAGUUGCUUGCGCUGGUUAGGACUCUCGCUUUCGGAGCAACCGAAGGGACGUCCAAGGCAGAAGUAGCAGACGGAGGGGCAGAAGCUUUUCAGCUGCUGGAAGAGGCUUUCGCCAAGUGCAGCCACGGGAAGGAGUACUUUGGUGGUGACACCAUUGGCUACGUGGAUAUCGCCCUGGGGUGCUGGCUGGGGUGGAUCAAGGCGGUGGAGGAGGUGAGCAACAUCAAGUUCUUGGACGAGAAGAAGGUUCCACUACUGGUGGGAUGGGCGGAGCGCUUCUUGCAGAACGAGGCAGCGAAGGGAACCAUGCUGGAGGCAGACGAAUACGUACAACGUGUUAAAAACCUUUCAGCGUCUGCUCGUUAACAGAAGUCGAUGGUUCUUCGUGAGCGUGAUAGCGAGCUGCUAAAUUUCUGCAAAGGACGUUUAAUUGGCUCCGAGAAUUGCAAUCUGCUUUCUUCUGGCUUGUUAGCAUCAACAGUUCACUGUAACUCGCAAAUAAAAGACAUUUGGUCGAUAACUAUUUCGCUCUCCCAAGCGCAGUUGGGUUUAUGAAUCUUCCUUGAGAAAAGUCUGAAAUAAUAAAGGAAAUGGAACCAUUAUUUUCCUUAUUUUCUUCUUUCUUUCUUGAGCUGGCUUUCUGCUUAUAAUUGAGUUAGUAGAUGGGAUUGUCUAAGACACAUCUUUAUUAGGUGUAGAAAACUAUAUGUAAAUCCAAGUUCUCAAUUUAAAGCAUGAAUCAAUAUUCUCAUAAAUCAAUCUAAAUAUUAGUUUAUUUUCGAUGUAAAAUUAAAUUGAGAUGUUACGAUCACAUAAUCUUUUGCUCAAAAUUUUCUUCUCUUUUGCAGCAGCAACUUUUGAGCCAUACCUUUUACAAAAGUAUUGCAUGACUAAGGCAAAAUCAAUUAAAUCAUUAAUAUCCUUCUUGGUGACACUUGUCUCAGUUGAUCAUGUUGCAUGGAACUGUUACAAAAGUAUCACCUGUCUUCAAAACAUUAUCAUCUUGUAGGAAAGGAGAUGUUCGAUCUUCUCCACCUAGAAGAUUACAGAGAAGUAGGCAGAAAUGAUAGAACUUCCCCUUCGCUCUAAUCCAAUGAUCCAUGAUGGAGUAUCCGUGGCAGAACCCACGGUUGCGGUGUCAAAUCAAACCAGAUUAAAGGCUCGCAGUGGUUUGUCACACCCCUACCGACCUCAGAAUAUAUAUCAUUUCACAGCACAAACUUCCCGAUUUCCAUCCACCCAUAAAUAUUAUAUAUAGGUCAUGACGGCCAGAAAUCAACGACAGGAGUAGAUAGAUUAAAAUAGUCAUCUCGAGUUGAACAUCCGCAUGAAACCGACAAGAUGGAAAUACGGUAGUCAUUCGUAUAUAUGCAUAGCCAUCGCAGUGUUAUUGGCAAUCGGCACAAGCUUGUGCUCUGAUCUAUCGCUGAGGCAAAAUGGCAGCAGCUGCAACAGGGGCGGUGAAGUUGUUGGGGCAUAAGAUGAGCCUCUUCGUGACGAGGGUGGAGAUCGCUUUGAACCUAAAGAAAGUAGGGUAUGAGUUCGUGCAGGUGGAGGUACACGGGCAGAAGAGCGAGAUCCUGGUGAAGUCCAACCCUGUGUACAAGAAGAUCCCCGUCCUCAUCCACCAGGGAAAGCCCAUCUGCGAGUCCGCCAUCAUCGUGGAGUACAUCGACGAGAUGUGGACCAGCGAGCCUCCCAUCCUCCCCUCCCACCACUUCGACCGCGCCGUCGCUCGCUUUUGGACCACCUACAUCGAUGACAAGGUUGAUCUCCACGCCUUCCCUUAUGGCAUCCAUUUCAACGUGCUUUAAGCUUGAAUUUGAUGUGGCACUUAGAUCCUUCGUUUUCUGGCAGUUGCUUUCGCUGCUUAAGGCUCUCGCUUUCGGAGCAGCCGAAGGGUCCUCGAAGGCAGAAACAGUAGACCGAGUGGCAGAAGUGCUUCAACUGCUGGAAGAGGCUUUCGCCGAGUGCAGCCACGGGAAGGACUACUUUGGUGGUGACACCAUCGGCUACGUGGAUAUCGCCCUGGGGAGCUGCUUGAGAUGGAUGAAGACGGUGGAAGAGAUAAAGAACGUCAGGCUUUUGGACGAGAAGAAGGUGCCGCUGUUGGUGGAUUGGGCGGAGCGCUUCUUGCAGGACAAGGCUGUGAAGGAAGUCACGCCGGAGAUUGACGAAUUCCGACAAUAUGCUAAAAUGAUUUUAGCAUCUGCUCGUUAAAAUUCUAUAUGACUUGGGUUUCAGUUUGUGAUCAUUCUGCGUGAGAUUUGGGUUUAUGUUUUGUGAUCGUUGCACUAUGUUUUCUGCUGGUUUGUAGGAAUUGCGCUAUGUUGUUGGCGUCCGUGUUAUUUAACCAAAUAAGUUAUUGCCAUAUGGAUGAUUUUGACUAAAUGAAAUAUUAUAUUGCAUGGCGACCAGAAAUUAACACGAAAAGAAGAGAAUGGACAGAUUAAAGUCGCCAUCCUCGAGUUGAAUGUCAAACAUUUCUUGGCGUAUACGCAACGACAAUAUCCUUGGAAUAUAUACAUAUAUAUAUUUUGGACCAACACAGGCUUGUCCUCCAGUCUAUGACGGGAGCAGAUGGCAGCAGCGUUGGACCUUCGCCCCUUCGUCAUGAGGGUGGAGAUCGCUUUGAAGCUAAAGAAAGCAGCGUACGAGUUCGAAGAGGUGGAAAUACUUGGGCAGAAGAGCGAGAUCGAUAGAAGAUCGGAGAUAAAUAUGAAAUCAUAAUUUUAUAUUUUUAUAUAUUUCAUUUUUUAAUUAAUUUAUAAUUUGAUUGAGUAAUAUAGAUUUAAAUUAAUUAUAGAUUUAAAUGUAUGAUUUGAUUGAGUAAUCUUAGUGAUUGAUGGGGAGUAAUAUCUCCCUUCAAACCUAUAUAAAUAUAUAUUACUCUAACGAAUGAAAUCAAUCACUUUCACAAUAAAUUUCUUACUUUUUUAUGUUAUCAAAAUUACUCGUUUUUCUCUCCUCUCUCUUCUUUUACCUGUUCUUUAUUGUGCUCGGAGAUCGAGUCUUCAUGUCCAUGUUCACAAUGAGCAGUUAUUGUCAUCUCCUCUGUCCCCUUCUCACAUCACAUGCAUACCGCAAACAGUGAUCCCUUGUUGAUCUGCAAUCAAAAGGUGGGCCGCAACCAUCCUCCCCUCUUGCUCUAAUGAAUCCUCCCUUGGUGCUUGGUGCAUGGUGCCAAUUACUUAUUCAACGAUAAAUAGUGCAGCAUCCAAUCAUAUCUGACAUAUAUGUCAUUUUCUUUCAUUUAUUAUUUCCUCGUGAAACAAUAGUUCAUCCCAAUAUAUAAGACUCAUGUAACUACUUUAACCCCUUUCAAAUUUUUCAAAAAUGAUAAUUAUGUAUCUUGACUAGCAUAAUUCACUAAUAUCUUCUUUGGAUAUGAUCUAUUAGAGUACAUCGACAGCUCUCUUAGUUAUAUAUCAGAAAAGAUCCAAAUACUUAAAAAAACUCAUCAUAAUGAUAAAUUCUGAUAACAAGUUAUGACUAUGACAAGAUCAUCCUAUUUUAUAAGUCAUCCAAGCUUUAAUCGUUGGCUCCAUAGCACCACUAAUCUCUUUGUAUAAUACUAUAACAUAAUCAUAGUCCAAGUUAUAAAUCAUCUUCGUCAAUCGCUCUUGCACUUUUAUGCUAAAUCUUUUAUCUACUUUGAUGAAAAUAAUAUGGAAGUACUAUUGCUGAUUAUAUAUAAAAUCUAAAAAAUACUUAAGGAUGACUUGACUUAAUAUGUUAUUUUCUGAGUGAUGAAGAAAUUAUUGUUUAUGUGUUUAAUAGCCUAGGAGAUGAAUAUAAAGAAUUGUCCAUAGCAAUUUGGGCAUAUGACUUAUCAAUGUCAUUUAAAAAACUAUAUUACAAGUUGAUUAAUUAUGAAAGAUAUGUGAUACCAGAAAAGAGGAUGACGAAAUCAAUAAUCACAAUUUAAUUCAAUCAAAAAAAAAAAAAAGAUAAUUAAAGCAACAAAAACUUCAUAAAGAAUUAAAUAAGAUAUCUCAUGGAUAAAUGAUAACACAUGGAGCUAUCAUCCUCUAUUAUACUAUCAAAGCAAUAACUAUGGUAGCAAAUUCAAAUUAAUCAACUCAAUAAAUAAUUUUAACUAUAACUAUUAAUAGUUAUAACAUCCUAAUAACAACAAUCAAUAAAAAAGUCAUCUAUUAACUCUAUGAUAAAAUAGGAUACAUAACAAAAGCUUGUUGGUCUCGACCCAAGUCUAUUGUAAUAUCCAAUUGGCCUCGAGCAAACAUCAUUACUACUCCAAUACUCCAACUGUUCAUCCAAGUAAUUGAAUUGUUGACUCCAGUACCUCUCAUUAUAUAAUUUCUGAUUUAUAAAAAUUCACAAUAACUAUGAAAGUAAUGAAGAUAUCAUUAUCGAUGACGGUAACAGAAUUCAUAUUAUUCAUAUUAGUUUCACAACACUUAAUUCAUACAAAAACAUUUGUACAUCUGAUGAUGUUUUAUGUGCAUCUCAUAUUAAAAGAAACCUUAUUUCUAUUUCUCAAUUCUAAAAUAAAAUAACACAUCUAUUAAGUUCUUUCUUGACUUAUUUUUUAUCAAUAAUCUUAGUAGGGGGCAUCUAUGGUCUAAUAUCAGAAAAAAGAUGACAUCUAUGAGUGAGUGAUCAUCAGCUUCACAAAUCAUCCGAUUAAUCACCCUUACUUCAAUUGUUGCUUCAAUCAAUGUGUGACAUCACCACCUUGGUCAUUCAUCAUCAUCCAUUCAACAAUAUCUAAUUUCUUAUUGCUUCAUUUCAACUUUCAAAUUAAAUUGAAUUACAACUUAUUAUGAUGCUUGUCUUAGUAAUAAAAGACAAACUAUUUUUUAGAAUAACUUUCAUAUCAUGCUUUAAAUCACUUGAAAUUAUUUAUACUAAUGUCUAGGGCUCUAUCUUAACUAUUUAUUUUGAUAAUUUUAGAUUUUAUAUUAUUUUUAUAUAUUACUUUACUAAAUAUAUAUGGUUAUAUUCUCUUAAACAUUUAUCUGAAGUUACCAUUAUUUUUACUCGUUUUAGAAAGGUGAUCGAAAACACCUUCUAGACUACCAUUAAAAUAGUUUACUCUAAUAAAGGAGGUGAAUAUCAAACUCUAAUAAUUUAUAUUCCAGUAUAUUGUAUAUAAUAUCUUAAGUCACCACCAUACACAUCUUAACUAGUUGACUCUACAAAAUGAAAGCAUUAGUUGAAACUAAUUUCACCCUUCUACAUCAAGCCUCAAUGUUACUGACCUUUUGGUCAGUAGUUUUUUAAACUAUAAUUUACCUCAUUAAUUGAAUACUCACCCAAUCCUAUAAUAUCAAUUAUUAUUUAAAAAACUAUUUUAUUAUUUUAUAAAAUCUUAAAUUCAAGCCUUGUAUCUUCAUUGGGUACUCCACUGAACAUAAUAUUUUUCGAUGCUAUGAUUCUCAAAUUCAAAAUAUCUUUGUAUUAUAUCAAAUUAUUUUUGUUAAGUCUUUUUUUUUUUUAAAUCUCACUUUAAUAGUACAAAUCACUGCAAUAACUAUUCAUCAUUAGGUUCAUACGAGUACAUCUCACGUCCCCUAAAGCACACCUCCCACCGCAUCAAUUAAUAAUUCUCUAGACCUAUAUUCCCUUGUUACUCUAGUACAUCUCACAUCCCCUCGAGCACACCUCACCUUAUUACUCCAGUGCAUCUCAUAUCCCCUCAAGUACAUCUCACAUCCCCUCAAGCACACCUCACCCUCUUGAUGACACUUGUCUGUUGCAUGGUACUGUUACAAAAGUAUCACCUGUCUUACAAACAUUAUCAUUUUGUAGGAAAGGAGAUGUUCGAUCUUCUCCACCUACACGAUCACAGAGAAGUAGGCAGAAAUGAUAGAACUUCCCCUUCGCUUUAAUCCAAUAAUCCAUGAUGGAGUAUCCGUGGCAGAACCCACGGUUGCCGUGUCAAAUCAAACCAGAUUAAAGGCUCGCAGUGGUUUGUCACACUCCUACCGACCUCAGAAUAUAUAUCAUUUCACGGUACAAACUUCCGAUUUCCAUCCACCCAUAAAUGUUAUAUAUAGGUCAUGACGGCCAGAAAUCAACGACAGGAGUAGAUAGAUUAAAAUAGUCAUCUCGAGUUGAACAUCCGCAUGAAACCGACAAGAUGGAAAUACGGUAGUCAUUCGUAUAUAUGCAUAGCCAUCGCAGUGUUAUUGGCAAUCGGCACAAGCUUGUGCUCUGAUCUAUCGCUGAGGGAAAAUGGCAGCAGCUGCAACAGGGGAGGUGAAGUUGUUGGGGCAUAAGAUGAGCCUCUUCGUGACGAGGGUGGAGAUCGCUUUGAACCUAAAGAAAGUAGGGUACGAGUUCGUGCAGGUGGAGGUACACGGGCAGAAGAGCGAGAUCCUGGUGAAGUCCAACCCUGUGUACAAGAAGAUCCCCGUCCUCAUCCACCAGGGAAAGCCCAUCUGCGAGUCCGCCAUCAUCGUGGAGUACAUCGACGAGAUGUGGACCAGCGAGCCUCCCAUCCUCCCCUCCCACCACUUCGACCGCGCCGUCGCUCGCUUUUGGGCCACCUACAUCGAUGACAAGGUUGGUCUCCACGCCUUCCCUUAUGGCAUCCAUUUCAACGUGCUUAAAGAUUGAAUUUGAUGUGGCACUUAAUUCCUUCGUUUU
rnacentral:lncRNA from 1 species